AUUGAACGCUGGCGGCAUGCCUAACACAUGCAAGUCGAACGCGAAAGAGGGGCAACUCUCGAGUAGAGUGGCGGACGGGUGAGUAAUACGUAGGAAUCUGCCCUAGAGUGGGGGAUAACCUGUCGAAAGACGGGCUAAUGCCGCACAUACUCUGAGGAGCAAAGGUGGCUAGCAAUAGCCUUCGCUUUAGGAUGAGCCUACGUCGGAUUAGCUAGUUGGUAGGGUAAUGGCCUACCAAGGCAACAAUCCGUAGCUGGUCUGAGAGGACGAUCAGCCACACUGGAACUGAGACACGGUCCAGACUCCUACGGGAGGCAGCAGUGGGGAAUAUUGGACAAUGGGGGAACCCCUGAUCCAGCAAUGCCGCGUGUGCGAUGAAGGCCUGCGGGUUGUAAAGCACUUUCGUUGGGGAAGAAAUGCUCAAAGAUAAUACAUUUGAGAGCUGACGUUACCCAAAGAAGAAGCACCGGCAAACUCUGUGCCAGCAGCCGCCGUAA
rnacentral:rRNA from 1 species